rnacentral:rRNA from 1 species
GGUUAAGUGACUAAGCGUACACGGUGGAUGCCUUGGCAGUCAGAGGCGAUGAAGGACGUAAUAACUUGCGAUAAGCCCAGAUUAGGUAGUAAUAACCUGUGAGUCUGGGAUUUCCGAAUGGGGAAACCCACGUGCAUAAGCACGUAUCAUUAACUGAAUACAUAGGUUAAUGAGGCAAACCGGGGGAACUGAAACAUCUAAGUACCCCGAGGAAGAGAAAUCAACCGAGAUUCCGAAAGUAGCGGCGAGCGAAAUUGGA